AUAUAAAUCAGUCACACCAUACUUCCCGACUAGAAAUUGUCCCAGUACUUAUAUUGGGGCCCGCUUGGGAUUUGUUG